CGGACGGGUGAGUAACGCGUGGGUAACCUGCCUCAUACAGGGGGAUAACAGUUAGAAAUGACUGCUAAUACCGCAUAAGACCACAGCACCGCAUGGUGCGGGGGUAAAAACUCCGGUGGUAUGAGAUGGACCCGCGUCUGAUUAGCUAGUUGGUAAGGUAACGGCUUACCAAGGCGACGAUCAGUAGCCGACCUGAGAGGGUGACCGGCCACAUUGGGACUGAGACACGGCCCAG
rnacentral:rRNA from 1 species